rnacentral:ncRNA from 1 species
AUCGGCGUGGAAGGAAAACUCUGUUGAGCUUGACUCUAGUCUGACUACGCGAAGAGACAUUGAAGGUGGAGCACAGAUGGGAAGCCGGUCGGAGCUUGCGGUGCCAUGCCUACUGUGAAAUAUCACUACUUUGAUCCUUUCUUGUCUGACUACGCGUUGAAGGUGGAGCACAGAUGGGAAGCCGGUCGGAGCUUGCGGUGCCAUGCCUACUGUGAAAUAUCACUACUUUGAUCCUUUGAUCCUUUAUUUGGUCAAGCGGAAGGAACGGCCCCUGCGUGGGCGUCUCACGGCGCGUGACGACGGCCACUUUUGGUGCAAAGCCGACGAGACGGUUCCCCGCUGUCGGCGGCACGUCGGGCUGUCGUAGCAACGCUAUGUGCCAUCCAGGGUGAUCCGCUCCGAAGACAGUGUAGGGCUGAGAGUUUUACUGGGGCAGUAUGUCUGUUAAGCGGUAGCAUGUGAGUUCCACGGUGAGUUCAGCGAGGACAAGAAACCUCGUCUGGAAUAAACGAGCAGUAAGUAGCUCAGUUGAUUUUAGUUUCCUGUACGAAUAAAUACCGCGAUAGCGUGGCCUAUCGAUCCUUUUGAUUUUGCUGGUUUCCUGCAAGAUGUGUCAGAAAAGUUACCACAGGGAUAACUGGUUUGCGACACCCAGUCCUGCAUGGCGCGUUUGCUUUAUCAUCCUUCUAUGUCGGCUCUUCCAAUAGGGAACGCGAGCUGGGUUAAGACCGUCGUGAGAUAGACUAGUUUUACCCUUCUGAU